AAGAAAGUGACAGAGCGGUCAUGUGGUCGGCUUGAAACCGAUAUAUGGGGGUUCGACUCCUUCCUUUCUCG
rnacentral:tRNA from 1 species